rnacentral:lncRNA from 1 species
AAUUCUCCCCAAUUGCUAACACCCUAUAGGAACUCACCUUAUAUGGAGAGGAUGAUGUAGAAUAUGAAGUGAAGUUGGUGAUGAUGAAGAUUUCUCCAUUGGUUUCUUCUUCUUUUUCCCUUUUUUCUCUUCCUCUUUCUCUUUUCUCUUUUCUCUUUUCCUCUUCUUACUGAUAUUUCUCUUCUUAUAAUUUUCUCUUCUUUUCCUUUCUUAUUAUUUAUCCUUUUUUUUCUUCUUUUCUUACCACCACAUGUAUAUAUAUAAUAUAUAUAAUAAUGUGUGGUUAGGAAUUAUUAGGAAGGAAAUAUCAUCUUAUGAUGUUUCUUACUAGUGGAGCAAUUAUUAAUGUUACCAAAAUGCUCAUUCUUGUACUCAUUAA